rnacentral:lncRNA from 1 species
CCCCUUUGUCCUGCCGGGAGCUCGGUGAUCCAGGGCAGGGAGGAGUGGCAGGAGGAAAGGGCAGGAACGGCUGGAAUUCUUGGAAAGGAGGGGAUGUGGUGCUUUCAGCGACUUCCGUGCGGAGCCCGAGGUCCACCUCUGGUUUUGCCACCGGUCGCUCGGAGCCGAUUUCCCCGCGAAAUCCUCGCGCUCCAAGGUCGCCUUUUCCAGGACGCGGAAGAGGAAAACUCUCCUGGCUCCUCAUCCUUCCAAGCUUUUCCUUCCCCACCUGGAGGCUGAUCUGGCUUUGGGAGAAGCUCCUUGUGCUUCCAGCACUGAAGUUUUUCCCUGGGUUUCGUGCUGGUCCUGGUAAGAUCCAAAGUAUCCAGGUACAGCGGGCAAAAGGGAUUUACGGAGCGCAAAAACAACUCCUCGAAGGCUUUCCCUGCUUUCCCAUAGAUAUUCCCUCUCUUCGCUUCACUUUCUCCGGGAUUUAACCCUCAUUUCUCUUCCUCCUUCUCCCCCCAGGUGGAUCCGAGAGGGUUUUGUUGGACAGAUCAGGUUUUGUGUGCUCUGAGUGCUGGGGGAGGGGAGGGCAGCGCAUGAAUCCAAACGUUCAUUUUACAACCAGUCAAACCAGUCAGGGCAGCUCCAAGCACAUCCAAGGGCUCGGGAAAGGAGGGAGUCGAAGGGGGAAAAGCUGCUCUCACCCAGGUGUCACAGAAAGCUGGGAAAGAAAAAGGAGGGUUUGGAAAAUCGGCUUAAAAUUUGAUUAAAAUCCAAAUAAAAUCGACACAAAACAAGCGUGAAAUUGGAAG